AGCCAUGAUAAGAAGAGGCCUCCAAGGGGCAGCAAGACUCAGCCACCACAGAGCCCUUCCUGGUGCCCCCCACAUGCUGCCCAGACUCAACCCUGCCUCAGCAUUCGGAUCCUCCACAGACUCCCUGGUCUCAAGAUUCUGCCCAGAGAAGACAGAUUUAAAGGAUUAUGCCCUUCCCAAUGCCAGCUGGUGUCCAGACAUGCUGAGCCUUUACCAGGAAUUUCUGGAGAAGACUAAGGCCGAUGGCUGGAUCAAAUUGCCUUCCUUCAAGUCCAACAGAGAUCACAUCCAGGGGCUCAAGCUCCCAUCUGGGUUAGCAGUCACCUCAGACAAAGGUGACUGGCGCCUCUUCACCAGGUGCAUCCCAGUGGAAGGGCAAGGCUACGAGUAUGUCAUCUUUUUCCACCCAUCCAAGAAGAAGUCCGUCUGUCUUUUCCAACCAGGCCCCUACUUGGAGGGGGCCCCCGGGUUUGCCCACGGAGGGUCCCUGGCAGCUAUGAUGGACGAGACCUUCUCUAAAACUGCCUACCUGGCUGGAGAGGGACUGUUCACACUAAGCCUCAACAUCAGGUUCAAAAACUUGAUCCCCGUGGGCUCUCUGGCUGUACUGAACAUUGAUGUGGAAAAGACUGAGGACCAGAAGCUUCACAUGUCCUGCGUCGCCCAAAGCAGAGACCAGAAGACGAUCUAUGCCAAGUCCUCAGGUGUUUUCCUUCAGCUGCAGCUGGAACAGGAGUAGCAGUCCCUCUACCUUCAGGAGAGCCUACCUCUGACUGUCCUGCCUGCCUGGGACCCACUGCAGGGCAGGGAGGGCUCCCCAGGGAAGCCGCUGAUGAGCCAAGCCCAGCUGGAGAAAGAACAGUACCACGCUGUCCAGUCACUUUAAAGUCAUGACCACUACCCUCAAGUGGGACUGUGGGACUGCCCAGUGGUCAUCCUGCAGCUUCCUACACCAUCCACUCUCCUGCUCUCCUAGGUGACCGCUUUAUUCCUGGUCCUCUCUACUCCAGCCCCUAGAACCACCUCCUCUCUGCUGACGACCUUGCUUCCUGUUUCACGGGGAAAUCAGAAGCAUCUACGAAAAAUAAGCUUCCACCACCAUAGCUCCACCCAUUUUUUUCACCGUUUCUCCAGUAACUGUGGGUGAACUGUUCCCACAGCAGGCACGGUCUGUCUUAUGCGCCACACCUAUUUCUUCUUGUCUACUCAAGAAUAUUGCUCCCAAAAUUCUCCUCUCUUCUGUGUUAUCAAUUUCCCCCUUUCUAUUGGGUCUUUCCCAUUUGCAGAACAGCACAGCAUUAGUUCUGUCAUUGAAAAAAUUCUCUCUUGAUUACCCCUCCCCCUCUGGCCAUUACCCCACUUCUCUCUUCUCUUUCAGCAAACUCUCCAAGAGCCUUUGCUCUCCCUCUUCCUCCUACUCUUUCUCGGGGCCACUCCAGUGUGCCUUUUGCCUCCACCACUCCACCAAAACUGCUCCUGUCAAAGUCACCAGUGACUUUGCAUUGCUAAAUCCAAUGGUCAGUUCUCAGGCCUCAUCGUACCAGACCUUGCCACAGCAUCUGGAACAGCUGGUUCCUCAUCCUCCCCACCUCUAAAUGCUGGAGAGCCCAGGAUUCGGUCCUUGGAUCCUUUUUCUUUGCUACCUACACUUCAUCAAGUCUUGUGACUUUAAAUUCCAUCUACAUUUCUCUUGGUGCCCACAUUUAUACUUCCUGUCUGGAUCUUUCCUCUGAGCUCCAGAUUCGCAUAUCCAACUGCUUACUCCACAUCUCUAGUUAGAUGUCUAAUGGGCAUCUCAAAUUUAAUAAAUCUAAAACUGAGCUCCUAAUACUUCCCCCUCUCAGUAAAUGGCAACUCCAUUCUGCCAGUUGCUCAGGCCAAAAACCUUAUCAUUCUUUUCCUUUCGAUAGGGAUAAGAACCCUAUUGACUUCAUCUUCAGAAUAUGACCAGAAACUAACUGCUCCAACCCUAUCCAUGCCCCAGUUAUCUCAUGCAAAGAUUACUUCAAAAGUCUAUCUCAUCUCCCUACUUACAUCCUUAUCCCCCUACUUACAGCCACCAGAGCAACGCUUCCAACACUUGUCAAGUUACAUCACUUCUCAGCUCACCAGAAGUAAAAGCUGAAAUUGUUUCAGUGGUUACAGGCUCCACCAAUUCUAACCUCAUCUUCCCCUCACUCAUUCUGUUCCAGCUGCACUGGCCUCUUUGCCUCCUCCACACUCCAGGCAUGCUUCUGCCUCAGGGGCUUUGCGUUUGCAACUUUUCUACAUAGAACAGUUUAGCCUCACAUAUCCUCCCUGCCUCCUUCAUAUCAUUACGGAAACAUUAUGUUCCCAAAGUGGCCACCCUGACCACACUAUUGAAAAUUGCAUACUCUUCUGAUACUGUCUGUGAGCCUUCCCUA